GCCCCUCGAUGGCGUGCGCGGCUUUACCAACAAUGUUUCUCGAUCUAUGCUCGUUCGAUUCGGGUAUCGUGAAUGUGUUGACCGCCGUAGACCGACCCUGGCAACGGCUCUGGUAGCCGGAGUCUUGGCAGUCGGAAACGAUAAGUUGACCUUGCGUACCCACCUGGGGAACCAGGAUCGAAUAACUGCGGUACGACGGCGUUGUGGAGGGGUU
rnacentral:other from 1 species